rnacentral:rRNA from 1 species
GACGUAGGGGCGAGCGUUGUCCGGAUUUAUUGGGCGUAAAGAGCUCGUAGGCGGCUCACUAAGUCGGAAUGUGAAAACUCCAGGCUCAACCUGGAGACGCCAUUCGAAUACGUGGUGUGGCUAGAGUCCAGUAGGGGAGUGUGGAAUUCCUGGUGUAGCGGUGAAAUGCAUAGAUAUCAGGAGGAACACCAGCGGCGAAGGCGGCACUCUGGGCUGGAACUGACGCUGAGGAGCGAAAGCGUGGGGAGCGAACAGG